rnacentral:rRNA from 1 species
GGGCUAAUUACGUGCCAGCAGCCAGCGGUAAUACGUAGGUGGCAAGCGUAGUCCGAAAUUAUUGGGCGUAAAGGGCUCGGAGGCUGUUUUCUUUAAGUCUGAUGUGAAAGCCCCCCGGCUCAACCGGGGAGGGUCAUUGGAAACUGGGAAACUUGAGUGCAAGAAGAGGAGAGUGGAAUUCCACGUGUAGCGGUGAAAUGCGUAGAGAUGUGGAGGAACACCAGUGGCGAAGGCGACUCUCUGGUCUGUAACUGACGCUGAGGAGCGAAAAGCGUGGGGAGCGAACAGGAUUAGAUACCCUUGGUAGUCCACGCCGUAAACGAUGAGUGCUAAGUGUUAGGGGGUUUCCGCCCCUUAGUGCUGCAGCUAACGCAUUAAGCACUCCGCCUGGGGAGUACGGUCGCAAGACUGAAACUCAAAGGAAUUGACGGGGGCCCGCACAAGCGGUGGAGCAUGUGGUUUAAUUAGAAGCAACGCGAAGAACCUUACCAGGUCUUGACAUCCUCUGACAACCCUAGAGAUAGGGCUUUCCCUUCGGGGACAGAGUGACAGGUGGUGCAUGGUUGUCGUCAGCUCGUGUCGUGAGAUGUUGGGUUAAGUCCCGCAACGAGCGCAUCCCUUGAUCUUAGUUGCCAGCAUUAAGUUGGGCACUCUAAGGUGACUGCCGGUGACAACCCGGAGGAAGGUGGGGAUGACGUCAAAUCAUCAUGCCCCUUAUGACCUGGGCUACACACGUGCUACAAUGGACAGAACAAAGGGCUGCGAGACCGCCAGGUUUAGCCAAUCCCACAAAUCUGUUCUCAGUUCGGAUCGCAGUCGGCAACUCGACUGCGUGAAGCAGGAAUCGUUAGUAAUCGCGGAUAAGCAGGCCACCAGGAAUACAUUCGCGGACGUUGUUUACACCGCCAGACACUCCGUGAGAGUUGCAACACCCGAAGGACACAAUAAUGUAACGCGCCCCCGAUAGGUCUUG